rnacentral:rRNA from 1 species
UACGUAGGGGGCAAGCGUUGUCCGGAAUCAUUGGGCGUAAAGAGCGUGUAGGCGGUUCGGUAAGUCGGCUGUGAAAGUCCAGGGCUCAACCCUGGGAUGCCGGUCGAUACUGCCGGACUAGAGUUCGGAAGAGGCGAGUGGAAUUCCCCGGUGUAGCGGUGAAAUGCGCAGAUAUCGGGAGGAACACCAAUGGCGAAGGCAGCUCGCUGGGACGGUACUGACGCUGAGACGCGAAAGCGUGGGGAGCAAACAGG